AUACGGAGGGUGCAAGCGUUACUCGGAAUCACUGGGCGUAAAGCGCGCGCAGGCGGCUUGAUAAGUUGGAUGUGAAAGCCUACGGCUCAACCGUAGAACUGCAUCCAAAACUGUCAGGCUAGAGUGUGGGAGAGGAGGAUGGAAUUAGUUGUGUAGGGGUAAAAUCCGUAGAGAUAACUAGGAAUACCAAAAGCGAAGGCAAUCUUCUGGAACACUACUGACGCUGAGGCGCGAAGGCGUGGGGAGCAAACAGGAUUAGAAACCCUAGUAGUCC
rnacentral:rRNA from 1 species